rnacentral:lncRNA from 1 species
CUUUGAUUGCACCUGCAAUGCCCAGCACUACGGCAAGAGCUGGUGGGUAUUUUUGCCUAUUAUUAAAUCUCUCACUUUCAGCUGGAAGUAAGCGUGGUGAUCCCUCCUCCAGGAAGCUAGGAUCUUACUUGAUUCAAUCUCAAUUUCAGGUAUGCCUUUGUUUUGCCUGCUAUAGAUGUGUGGUGUGUCACAUAAUUAGAUGACUUUAAUGAAAUGUAAAACACUCUCUAUGGAUACAUGAAUUAGUACUGACCAAAUGAUCCUAUUAUUCAAGAAUUCAAUCUAUAUACACCAAUGGUGAAAAUAGUUUUUUGAGCCAUUUAAGGUAACAUUAAGUUUGUAACCUGGAAAAUAAGGUUAUUAGCAUGACUAAAAUAGGUUAAACUAUUAAGUUAUAUCCAUAGGGUAAUUUUUUACUACUCUUUGUCUGAAGACUGAUAUUUAUCUUGAAUUUGCAACAUAAGACAUUAUGCAUUUGAUCAAGUAUUACUAUCUUUUCGAUUGUGCAUCUGUCUCUUUCAGGAAUACAUAACAUAUAUAGGGUAUGGAAUGAUGUCAGCUAUAUGAAGCUCUUAACCUGCAAAUUCAUUACUGAGAACUCAAAUCUAUCUAGAAUUACUUUAAUAGCUUCCAUAACUAAAAAGGAUCUGAAUGAAUUGUUUGGUUGUUGAAAAUAGCUUUACCUGUCAGCACUUUAAUUAUUUUUUUUGCCUUUAAAAGCAAUGAAAAACAACUUUAUCACAUGUUGUUUUGUAUUUUUAAAUUAAAAUUAGCUAUAUGUUAAAAACUAGAUGUCAAAAAAUAUGUGUGGAAAUAUAAUCCUCUAGCCUUUUGAUAUUCUCAACUCUCAAGUGUAUAAAAGAUCUUGAUUCUGGAGAAGAACAAAGGGGAUAUAAAGGCAUUUUGAUAUUGUUGUGGUGAUUCCGAACAGUUUCAACAUGUAGGUUGAAAAAUCUGAUGCGAAGUCUCUGCUGACCAAACUGUCUAGAAUAUGUGUGCAUUCUUCCUGCUUCUCGAGUUCUUGGUUACAUUGCUUGGCUGAUUAUCCCUUGUGCAAUAGACAUAAUAUAUAUGUUGAUAUUCUAUCAUGUUGUUAUAUAUAUAUAUAUAUAGAGAGAGAGAGGGGGGGGG